rnacentral:rRNA from 1 species
CAGUAGCCGCGGUAAAACGGAGGGUGCAAGCGUUAUCCGGAUUUAUUGGGUUUAAAGGGUCCGUAGGCGGAUCUGUAAGUCAGUGGUGAAAUCUCACAGCUUAACUGUGAAACUGCCAUUGAUACUGCAGGUCUUGAGUAAAUUUGAAGUGGCUGGAAUAAGUAGUGUAGCGGUGAAAUGCAUAGAUAUUACUUAGAACACCAAUUGCGAAGGCAGGUCACUAAGAUUUAACUGACGCUGAUGGACGAAAGCGUGGGGAGCGAACAGGAUUAGAGACCCCCGUAGUCCCUGUCUCUUAUAC